rnacentral:tRNA from 2 species
CAAAGAAUAGUUUAAUUUAAAAUAAUAAUUUUGGAGAUUAUUGAUAAAAUAUUUUUUUUUUCUUUGA